UCUACAUGACGAAUUAUAGCACUGGGCACUGAUAGUACAUGAGUGUGACAACGCUUUAAUGGUGGGCCUCAGAAACCCACCGUAACUGAUUAU
rfam:Pichia membranifaciens DNA, contig: CON036, strain: KS47-1.